rnacentral:rRNA from 1 species
AACGAACGCUGGCGGCGUGCUUAACACAUGCAAGUCGAGCGGUAAGGCCCUUUCGGGGGUAUACGAGCGGCGAACGGGUGAGUAACACGUGAGCAACCUGCCCUUCUCUUUGGAAUAAGCGUUGGAAACGACGUCUAAUGCCGAAUAUGACCCCCUGUCGCAUGGUGGGGGGUGGAAAGCUCUGGCGGAGAAGGAUGGGCUCGCGGCCUAUCAGCUUGUUGGUGUGGGUAAUGGCCCACCAAGGCGACGACGGGUAGCCGGCCUGGGAGGGUGACCGGCCACACUGGGACUGAGACACGGCCCAGACUCCUACGGGAGGCAGCAGUGGGGAAUAUUGGACAAUGGGCGAAAGCCUGAUUCAGCAACGCCGCGUGAGGGAUGACGGCCUUCGGGUUGUAAACCUCUUUCAGCAGGGACGAAGCGAGAGUGACGGUACCUGCAGAAGAAGGACCGGCCAACUACGUGCCAGCCGCCGCCGUAAAAC